AGGAGUAAAAUCCUCUGCGAGUA
rnacentral:tRNA from 1 species